UACAGAGGUCCCGAGCGUUGUUCGGAUUCACUGGGCGUAAAGGGCUCGUAGGCGGUUUGUCACGUCGGGAGUGAAAACUCAGGGCUUAACCCUGAGCCUGCUUCCGAUACGGGCAGACUAGAGGUAUGCAGGGGAGAAUGGAAUUCCUGGUGUAGCGGUGAAAUGCGCAGAUAUCAGGAGGAACACCGGUGGCGAAGGCGGUUCUCUGGGCAUUACCUGACGCUGAGGAGCGAAAGUGUGGGGAGCGAACAGG
rnacentral:rRNA from 1 species